UCAUAUGUGGAAUCUGUGGACAAAAGUUACUCUAGGAAUAACGAGUUGAUCUUCCCCAAGAGCUCGCAGCGACAGCAAGGUUUGGCACCUCAAUGUCGGCUCUUCACCACUUGAGCAUGUAUUAUGUUUCAAGGGUUGGGCUAGAGCCACCACUUGGGCAUAUAUUAUGUUUCUAGGGUUGGGCUCUUUGCCCAUUAAAGCGGUACG
rnacentral:rRNA from 1 species